UACGGGGGGGGCAAGCGUUGUUCGGAAUUACUGGGCGUAAAGGGCUCGUAGGCGGCCAACUAAGUCGGAUGUGAAAUCCCCAGGCUUAACCUGGGAACUGCAUCCGAUACUGGAUGGCUUGAAUUCAGGAGAGGGAUGCAGAAUUCCAGGUGUAGCGGUGAAAUGCGUAGAUAUCUGGAGGAAUACCGGUGGCGAAGGCGGCAUCCUGGACCGACAUUGACGCUGAGUGAGCGAAAGCUAGGGGAGCAAACGGG
rnacentral:rRNA from 1 species